CAAUUGUGAUUUGGACAGAACCCAUUGUCGCCUCCCACUGGGGGUGAAAUACUGUAUAAAUGCAGCAUCAGCCCUGAGAACUGCAUUUGCCUGAGAACUUAGUGUUGACAAAACAUGAAGCGAUUGGGCUUGGUUGUCCUUGUACUUCUCCUGAUGCUUUUGGCUGUUGAGGCUGAUGGGAUGUAAUAUUGGACGUGUGGUUAUAGAGGACUCUGCAGACGGUUCUGUUAGGCCCAAGAAUAUAUUGUUGGACACUUCGGUUGUCCUCGCAGAUACAGGUGCUGUGUUGUGCGGUUUUAGCAGUGACUGACAGUCUAAUGAUACCUGUAACAGGACAUCACAGGCUGAUGAUUGGUCUGCUUCUUUGACAUGGAUUCUUUUGGACAAAGCCUACUGUGAUCAAAUUGCAAGCCUCAUGGUAAACGACAAUGACAAUGUUUUGGGGGAGUUUUUAGCUGAUGUCGAGAUCAAUGUACAAUAUCUUGCUAUGGAAUCUGAAGUAUGUAGUUGACUUGAUGUGACUGCUUGAAGUGACUGCUUUGAUUUUCAGUACAUUUGACAUAAUACAUGGUAAUGCAACUAAAACAGAGUUAAUUUG